CCCACAUUGCAUUGCAAUUUAUUGUUUAGCACUGAUAUGAUUUACUUAACCCAUUCAGUAACAUUGUGCCCUGAUGGGCUCUACUUUACUCUGUCUAAUGCCAGACUAUUUUACUCUGUUUAACACCAGACAAUUUUAUUUGUCAAGGGUAGAGUGUUGGUGUUUAAUGGUUAAGCACUUCUAAGGUACUGUUAAUUUUGAAAAUUCUUAACAAGGUAAACUAUUAGGUCAUUUUUGUGGCAUGAAGUACAUAUUGGUGUCAGCACUAAAUUGCUUCAAAGUUAUAUCAUGCAUAGCUAGAUCAAGCAAAAUUAUAAUGAGCUUUAGCUCAUUUGUUUUAACAGCAUGGAAAUUCUCUAAAUUUAACCCUUUAAGUGGCAAUGUACCCAGAUGCACCCUACUUUAUUAUUUUACUCUGUCUAUUACAGUAAUGCCAGAUGAUUUUACUUGUAGCACUGUGCACAAUACAAUAGUACCUUCAUAAGAAAUGUUCAAUAUGUCUACAGACUACAAGAGUUCUCGCAAAAUGAUAAAUAUUUUGCAUUACUUGUACUAUUGUUCUCGUAACAUGUUCAAGAUCACUAUUUCUUGAUUGUUUUAUGUUCUUCUCUUUGGGCAAUGACUCCUCACUGACAUUACACAUUUACACCACUUGCUUCGCUUUAAUACCAGAAUGCCGUCCAGAAUUGAAACAUUUCCUUGAAUGGAUUGUCAGCUGCUGUUGGGUUUUACAGUAAAAUAUCAUUCCUUCUCCCUUGUGCUCGCUGGUAUUAAACCGAAAUACUCUUAAAUAUCAUAUAUCAUCCUGGCAGAACCGUUCUGUGAGCACAAACUCAAGUCCUUCGCUCAACAAAAACCUUGUCAGGGCAACAACUGAAUUUACAGUCUCUUUAAUUGAUAGUCCAGUAAAGGUUUGGGCAAUCUUAUUACUGCCUGGUUUUGCCUGGUAGAUAUAAGUUGUUCUCACGUUAUUGCC